rnacentral:rRNA from 1 species
AUACGGAGGGUGCAAGCGUUGUUCGGAAUCGCUGGGCGUAAAGGGCGCGCAGGCGGUUUGGUAAGUCAGAUGUGAAAGCCCACGGCUCAACCGUGGAAGUGCAUUUGAAACUGCCAGACUUGAGUACCAGAGGGGAAAGUGGAAUUCCCGGUGUAGAGGUGAAAUUCGUAGAUAUCGGGAGGAAUACCGGUGGCGAAGGCGACUUUCUGGCUGGAUACUGACGCUGAGGCGCGAAAGCGUGGGGAGCAAACAGGAUUAGAAACCCUAGUAGUCC